UAUUGAACGUGUUAGAUGCGGUUAUGGGGUUUAUGAUACUAUUCUCGGGCAAACCCGAAGCCCUCCGGGCCCCUUUCGGAGGCAGCAGGAGAGUGGGAAACGUCGGCGGAGCAUUCACCUCGCGAACCAACCACAGAGGCGCAGAGCCCUCCCAGGUUCCUAGAGCGGACCGGAAAUGACGCCCGCGAGGAAGCCGAGCCGUCGGGUUGUGGAGCCGAGAGGUCCCUGUGCUCGCCGCCUUUCCGGUGACGUGAGCUCCCGCGGAGUGGGAAACCGGCUUCCCGAGUCCAGAGGAGAGCAGGACCGCCAUGGGCUUUGAGGCGGCUCGAGGAGGGCCUGGCUUCGGAGCCUGGCACCUGACGAAGGCGGGACGUGGGGGGACGCGUCCAGAAACACAAGAUUCCUGGAGCGACAGCAGCUAUUACGUGUCUGUGAUGCUGAAAGCCACAGGACAGAGACAGUUAAGAAGACAGAAGAUGCCUGGGAACGUCAUGCCAUUCUUGACCAGUGGUGCCAGCCCUGGAAGCUUUACCUCAGGACCUCUUGUUAAAUGACGUGCUCACUCCUUUCUGUGUCACCCACUGGGUAGACUUUCCCAUUGCAGGGAAUUCAGUCCUAACUGGUGAUACCAGCUGGUAAACACUAGCACCUGUUCUGUGCUAUUGCAGCUCCAACCACGUUAUGUAUUAACUUUUACAGUCCUCAUAACAAUCUUCGGAGAUAGACCGAAAGAUCUCAGAAGUGUGAUUCCUGAGCCAACAGCAUCACCACUACCUGGAAACUUGCUGGAAGUGCAACUUUGGGUGCCUGACCCCAGACCUGAAUCAGAAACUCUGGGAGUAGAGGCCCAGCAGUCAGUUUUAAGAAGCCUUCCAGAACACUUAACAUGAGCUCUGCCCUCUUAACACAUUUUUAAAUGUGCAGUACAUCAGCACUGGCUGUAGGUACGGCGUUGCUCGGCAGAUCUCCGGAGCUCACUCAUUCUUGACUGAAACUGUGCCUGUUGAUGAAUAACUCCAUUUGACCCCGAGCCCCUGACAACCCCUGUUCCAUUCUUGGCUUCUGUGAAUUUGACUAUGCUAGAUGCCUCAAGUAAGUAGAACCAGGCAGUAUUUGUCCUUCUGUAAUGGCUUAUCUCACUUAGUCUAUCCUCAAGGUUCAUCCAUGUUGUCGAAUGUUGCCGAAUUCCAUUCUUUUUAAGGCUGAAUAACAUUGCACUGUGUGCAUAGACCAUGUUUUCUUAAUGCAGUUGAACAUCUAGGUUGUAUUCACGUCUUGGCUAUCCUGAACAUUGUUGCAGUGAACACGGGAGCGCUAAAAUCUCUUCCAGAUCCUGGUUUCGAUUCUUUUGGAUAAAUACCCAGAAGUGGGAUGGCUGGAGCACGGUAUGUUUUUGAUGUUUUGAGGAAACUCCAUGCUGUUUUCAUAAGUGCUACAGCAUUUCAUUCCUACCCACAGGGUGCAAGUGUCCCAUUUUCUCCACAUCUUUACCAGCACUUGUCUUUUUUGGGGGGGGGGUCCUUGGUUUUUUGAUAAUAGCCAUCCUCACAGGUGUGGUGAGGUAUCUCAUUGUGGUUUUGAUUUGUAUUCCUCUGAUGAUUAAUGACACUGAGCAUCUUUUCAUGUACCCGUGGGGCCAUGUACAUAUAUAUCUUUGUUGGAGAAAUGUCUGUUCGAGUCUUUAGCCCAAUUUUUUGUUGACCUAUUCGUCUUUUGGUUUUGUUUAUUGCUGUUGAGCUGUAGCGGUUCCUUAUAUGGAGAAUUAUCCCUUAUCAGAUACAGGGUUUGCAAAUAUCUUCUCCCAUUCUGUAGUUCUCCUCUUCACUCUGUUGGUGGUUUCCUUUGCUAUGCAGAAGGUUUUUAAUUUGACGUCAUUCUGCUUGUCAGCUGUAAACAGGAAUAAUUUUACUUCUUCACUUCUGAUUUGGAUGCCCUUUCUUUCUCUUUCUUGCCUCAUUGCUCUGAGGGGCUUCUGCUGCUACGAUGAAUAGAAGUGGCAAGAGUGGGCAUCCUUGCCUUGUUCCUGAUCUUAAAGGAAAAGUUUCAUUUACUCAUCUUUGAGAAUGAUGUUAGCUGUGGGCUCAUAUUUGAUCUUAAGUUAUGUUUAGGUACAUCCUUCUAAACCCAGUUUGUUGGGAGUUUUUUUUAAUCAUAAAAUGUUGUGGAAUCUUAUCAGAUGCUUUUUCUGCCCUGUUAAGAUGAUCAUGUGACUUUUAUCCUUUAUCGUUAACGUGGUGUAUCCCGUUCAUCGGGUCGUCGUUGAGGUGUGUUGGCGAUGAUGAACACGCUGGCAGACCCCGCAAGAGUGUGUCCCAAGUCUACCACUUUGGUGCACCGUGACGGAUCAUCCAGCUCUUGGAGUACGGCCGGAGCGUUCGUGGUGGGCUCUUAUCCCUGCUAGCACCGUAGUUCCAGUGACUGCUUCCUGAGAGUGCGAGACCAUCCUGGAAGUUUAACUAGCUCUGCGGUAAAGGAGCUCUAGCUCUUGACCAUUCCAGUUUUGAAUAUUCCACUUGGCAUUUACGGUUUUCUGAGCACUGGGGCCAUGAUUCUGUGAUGGUUUCAUCACUCAGCAAAGAGCACAGGUGACUACAUGCCAGACUGUUCUAGGCAAUCGGGAAACAGACAAGGUCAGGGACCUUAUGGGCUACUGGGAGGAAACAAAAAUGUAUCUCUGGUAGAUAAGAGCUAUGAAGAAAAAUAAAGCAGAGUACAUGGACAGAGAAGGAGGAGGAGUGUUCUGUCACGUGGGGUGGAGAGCAAAGGCGGCCCUUGAGCAAAGAACUGGAUAUUAAUUAUAAACUACACUUGCACAGAACUGCCAGCAUGGGAGUAUGGACACUUAAGAGAUCCCAUCUUUUCCUUGGCCUUGUAGUUUUUGGAGCCCUGAAUCUCAUUUGCCUAGUGGGGAGAGAGAAGCUGGCAGAGUGAAUGGCCCAUGAUGCUCUCCACCCACCCGCAGCUCCGGGGUCCAGGAGUCUUCUCCACACCCUAAUGUCAUUACACCUUCCCCCACUCCCAGCCCAGAAUCUUUCAGCUGCUGGCCACUUACUCAGUGACCCUGACCUCUCUUUUCAUUACCUCUAGACUUUGUUCCUGAGCAUAGAGUUUCUUCCUUCUUCUAGAGCAGAAAAAAGGGACACAAAGGAUGGCUUUGUGUCGAGUGCCAAAGAAAGCUGAGAACAUUUGCUGUGCUCAUAAAGGCAGAUUAAAUCAUAAUCUUGGGUCCAUAAGAAUUUCCCCACUUUUAUGAUGUCACUAAGUGGUCCCACCAAUGAGCAAGCAGGAUAAAUUACCUAUAUUCUCAGUCUGUCUGACUGUUCCUUUCAUCUGGCUUUCUCCUAUUGACCCUGCCUGCCUUGCAGUCCUUCUGAGCAGCAACUGCUCUUUCUUCCCUACCCUUUGUUACCACUGGGCCUGGAGAUGGGUAGGUCUCCCUCUUGCUCCUCAUUGCCCCUUCUGGACUGUUUUGUCCUCCCUUCUCCAUAAAAACACCUAAUCUGGAAACUUUUCUCCUAGACUUGACCACUCUUCCUUCGUUUUGCUGUCAUGUACAGACUGUUGGAAUAAUUCCUCUCAUUCCUUGAACAUUUAAGUCCUUAGAUCACUCUCACUCUCUGAUACUACUCCUGUCGUAAUUCUUGGUGAUGUUAGUGUCCAGGAAGGCGAUCGCCUUCACACAUCUCAUCUCAUCACUAAGUCCAAUGGCUCUGCCUGCACAGUAAGCCCAGUAUGAGACUGCUAAUGCCCUGCUCAACCAAGAACAUUCUCCAAACCACCAUCGUCUCAUAUGGCAUCACUACUCCAGUAGCUCCUGCAUUCCUUGCUUAAACCCGUGCCCUAUGGUCUAAUCAUAAUGCAACAACCAAUCGAAUCCAUAGAAAUGUGAGCCUGAUCUUAUUCCUCUGCUCCAAUGGCUUCUUAGCAUAAACACCAAAUUCUUUAAUGUUACCUGAUGGAUCUUACACAAUCUGGCCUCCAUCUCCUUUCUGACCUCUAGACUUUCCCCUCUCACUCCACCCCACUCCAGCCACCAUGCUGGCCUCCUCGCUUGAAGUGAUACGUGAUUGACUAUGAAAUGAGGCAGUCAGCCAUUGUCAUAUGUAUCCACACAGGGUGAACACAGUUUGGCCAAUGUGGUUGAAUAAGCUUUCAACCCAAGCUUGGGCCUCGAAGGAUAGAUUUAUACUGGCUGAUGAGAAGAGGGAAGCAGGAGGACCUAGUAGAUGGGAUUGAGCAAAGGCAAAGGGUUGUACCACUCUAGGGGUAUCUCCAUAUGGUAACCAUACUUGUUUGCAAACCAGUAUCAGGCACCUGGAACAGUAUAGACACCAUAGUAGGUGGUGAAGACAUUUAUUUAGUGAACGAGAGAUAUUUGGAUGGUACUUAGUGGGCAAUGGGACAGAAGGUUUAGAUGGAGCCCAUUGGAGAAACACUUGCCCGUAUAGGAUUUGGGAAACAGUGUGGUGAACACAUUUUGGCAGAGAGGUUGAAUUUUUGGAGGGAGUAGACAGAAAUAAAGCUCAAAGAUAGGUUGAAGCUAGAUUAAGGAAGGGCUUGGAUGUCAUUCGAAGGAUUACAUUAGAUGUGCUCAGGGAGAUGUUAGGGGGCUUCCAAGAGUGGGGGAGAACCUGAUAAAGUUAUUGGGGGAGGGGCUGUCAGUCUGGAGGCUGGAAUGGUGGCAAUAAUGGCUGGAGCCUGGGAGAGACAUUAGGAGGCAAUGUUCCAGAACUUCAGGCGUGACACACUGUGGGCCUACAGUACUUGUUAAAUAGGGAGCUAAACUGUAAAGGGGAUACUGGGGCUAGAAUGGGAGAUUUAAGAAAGUGUUAGGAAUGAGGGAUCGUUAGGAAUUGUCUUUGAAGGAUGAGGAGUGAAUCUGGAGGGUGUGGGGAAAUGCCUCCCCACGUCUUCCCUUUCCAUCAGUGCUUUAGGAUGAAGAAACUGAAGAGAGACGUGAUCCUCACCUGUCAUUUCCUGGCCACCAUCCUGGUGUGGUGGUCUCUCCUCGUCUCCUCCUGGGUGGAAAUAGAACUGCCUGGAGAUCCCAACAUCCUCAUCAGUACGCCCUUCGAAGACUACAGUAGUCAAAUGUGCUGGGUGCCCAAACACAAGCCAAGUGUGUCCUGGUUUAACCUGCAGCCUCGGGUACCUGCCUCCUCCCCCCUCGCCGUCCCCGCCACUCCUUCCCGUUGGUGCCCACCCACACCUGCUGUGCUCCCUGUACACUUGGGCACUUGGAAAACCAGGGAGUGGACCCUAAAAAAGGACGAACUUAUCAGACUCUCUCUUGUCAUCUUCCCUGAUUCUAGCCUACUUCAUACUGGGUGGAGGUCUCAUGAUCAGCGCCCUUCUCCUCUCACUGUGUUCCAACUUUUUGUUGCUGGUCUUCCCUCAGUUAUUCCCUGAGACCCAGAAACAGUAUGUUUCCUGUGCUUUUAUCUUCAUCAUCACAGGGAAGGAGAGGCAGGAAUGAACUUGCAAGGUCUUGGCUUUGGGUUAGGGUGGGAUUUUCACUUGAUUAGCUUUUUAAACACUGUCCAGGAGAGUACAGAGGAAAAGAAAAGUCUAGGAGAAACACACGGUCUCAAAGGAGGCAGAGGAAAGUGAGGGGCAGUAACAAUGACAUGAUUCUGGUUCAGUGAUCAUGACCUGACAGCGGAACCUUGGAGGCCUGGCGUAGGCUAAUCAGGAGACCUGUCUUGCCCCUUUCUUGGGUUGGCAGGUACUUUUGUGUUCCUCUCAUUAUUUAUGCACUACAUGCAAAUUUUGGAAGUGUCUCAGGAACCUGAUCCACCAAAAGUCACUUAUAAGUUUCCUUACUUCGUGAACGUGUCCAGCUCUGGCCUGUCCUGGUCUCUGGAGAUUUCUGCCUCACGAUUCCCAGUGUUUGGAAGCUGUCGGAGUUUUAAGAUCCCGACCCCACCACAUGGAUACCAUUUCAUUAGAAGACACAACACUGAGCCUAAAACCGAGCAGAAGGCAUGAAAGAAUGAAGACUCUCCUCCCGUGACUGGGGUUCCUCAGCCACUCACCCCAAAGACAGUGUCACUGACUCUGGAAAGAGCUGACUUCUUCCCCUUGUUCUGUUCACUUAUCCUUCCGGAGCCCUGGACCACAGGUCUGUUUCAUGGCAGAGGAAGGGAAGGAGAUAGAAUUGUGUGUGCGGGAGAAGCAGAUAGGCAGCCUUGCAUAGGGGCCUGCUUGCCAUUAUCUCGACAAUGCUGCACUCACUGGGGUGCCUGUUUUACGGGGUGUUUCCUUGUCCUUAACAAAGCCCUUGCCCCAUCUGUGAAGUUUAAGUUUUAAUAAAAGCCCU